CUUACAGACCCCCUCCCUCUCGCAGCUGCAGAAGUUUGGGGCCGCGGCUGCGCGGGCGGCGGAGGUGAGCGGCGGCGGCGGGGACCCGCGGGAGAGCAGGGCUCCGGCCAGCGCACUUCGGUGACGGGGCCUCAGGACGCGCAGCAGCUUUCAGCUUCCCUUCCACCCGCCGGCGUUUCAUUGCAGCUCCUGGGAAACAACGGCCUCUAAGGAAUAAGGCGCUGCCGAAGAACGUCCAGCUACGACCGGACUUUGAAAGACAUGACAAUAAAUGUGAAAUGAUCGAUAAUCAAUUUGAUGAGUGAAGAACCCGCUGCUUUGGAGAGAGAAAGCGAGAGAGAUGGGGUGCGGGUGGGGAGAGCAUCAAUAAAAAUAUGGUGGUAAAGCCUGGCUAAAA